GAUGAAGAACGCAGCGAAAUGCGAUAAGUAGUGUGAAUUGCAGAAUUCAGUGAAUCAUCGAAUCUUUGAACGCACAUUGCGCCCCUUGGUAUUCCAUGGGGCAUGCCUGUUCGAGCGUCAUUUGUACCCUCAAGCUUUGCUUGGUGUUGGGUGUUUGUCUCGCCUUUGCGUGUAGACUCGCCUUAAAAUAAUUGGCAGCCGGCGUAUUGAUUUCGGAGCGCAGUACAUCUCGCGCUUUGCACUCAUAACGACAGCGUCCAAAAGUACAUUUUACACUCUUGACCUCGGAUCAGGUAGGGAUACCCGCUGAACUUAAGCAUAUCAAUAAGCGGAGGA
rnacentral:misc_RNA from 1 species